rnacentral:rRNA from 1 species
UAAAGGAAUUGGCGGGGGAGCACCGCAACGGGAGGAGCGUGCGGUUUAAUUGGAUUCAACACCGGAAAACUCACCAGGAGCGACGGUUACAUGAAAGUCAGGCUGAUGACCUUACUCGAUUUUCCGAGAGGUGGUGCAUGGCCGUCGUCAGUUCAUACCGUAAGGCGUUCUCUUAAGUGAGAUAACGAACGAGACCCUCACCAAUAGUUGCUACCGUAUCUUCCGAGGUGCGGGCACACUAUUGGGACCGCUGGCGCUAAGUCAGAGGAAGGAGAGGUCAACGGUAGGUCAGUAUGCCCCGAAUCUCCUGGGCUACACGCGCGCUACAAAGGGCGGGACAAUGGGUUCCUACACCGAAAGGUGACGGUAAUCCCGAAACCCGUCCGUAGUUCGGAUUGAGGGUUGUAACUCACCCUCAUGAAGCUGGAUUCCGUAGUAAUCGCGAAUCAACAAUUCGCGGUGAAUAUGCCCCUGCUCCUUGCACACACCGCCA